GAGUUUGAUCUUGGCUCAGAACGAACGCUGGCGGCAUGCCUAACACAUGCAAGUCGAACGAGACCUUCGGGUCUAGUGGCGCACGGGUGCGUAACGCGUGGGAAUCUGCCCUUGGGUUCGGAAUAACUUCCCGAAAGGGAUGCUAAUACCGGAUGAUGUCGUAAGACCAAAGAUUUAUCGCCCAAGGAUGAGCCCGCGUAGGAUUAGCUAGUUGGUGAGGUAAAGGCUCACCAAGGCGACGAUCCUUAGCUGGUCUGAGAGGAUGAUCAGCCACACUGGGACUGAGACACGGCCCAGACUCCUACGGGAGGCAGCAGUGGGGAAUAUUGGACAAUGGGCGAAAGCCUGAUCCAGCAAUGCCGCGUGAGUGAUGAAGGCCUUAGGGUUGUAAAGCUCUUUUACCCGGGAUGAUAAUGACAGUACCGGGAGAAUAAGCUCCGGCUAACUCCGUGCCAGCCGCCGCAGUAAU
rnacentral:rRNA from 1 species